rnacentral:rRNA from 1 species
UACGUAGGGUGCAAGCGUUAAUCGGAAUUACUGGGCGUAAAGCGUGCGCAGGCGGUUUUGUAAGUCUGACGUGAAAUCCCCGGGCUCAACCUGGGAAUUGCGUUGGAGACUGCAAGGCUGGAGUCUGGCAGAGGGGGGUAGAAUUCCACGUGUAGCGGUGAAAUGCGUAGAGAUGUGGAGGAACACCGAUGGCGAAGGCAGGUCUCUGGGCCGA